rnacentral:rRNA from 1 species
AGUCGAACGGAUCCUUCGGGAUUAGUGGCGGACGGGUGAGUAACACGUGGGAACGUGCCCUUUGGUUCGGAACAACUCAGGGAAACUUGAGCUAAUACCGGAUGUGCCCUUCGGGGGAAAGAUUUAUCGCCAUUGGAGCGGCCCGCGUCUGAUUAGCUAGUUGGUGAGGUAAAGGCUCACCAAGGCGACGAUCAGUAGCUGGUCUGAGAGGAUGAUCAGCCACAUUGGGACUGAGACACGGCCCAAACUCCUACGGGAGGCAGCAGUGGGGAAUCUUGCGCAAUGGGCGAAAGCCUGACGCAGCCAUGCCGCGUGAAUGAUGAAGGUCUUAGGAUUGUAAAAUUCUUUCACCGGGGACGAUAAUGACGGUACCCGGAGAAGAAGCCCCGGCUAACUUCGUGCCAGCAGCCGCGGUAAUACGAAGGGGGCUAGCGUUGCUCGGAAUUACUGGGCGUAAAGGGAGCGUAGGCGGACUGUUUAGUCAGAGGUGAAAGCCCAGGGCUCAACCUUGGAAUUGCCUUUGAUACUGGCAGUCUUGAGUACGGAAGAGGUAUGUGGAACUCCGAGUGUAGAGGUGAAAUUCGUAGAUAUUCGGAAGAACACCAGUGGCGAAGGCGACAUACUGGUCCGUUACUGACGCUGAGGCUCGAAAGCGUGGGGAGCAAACAGGAUUAGAUACCCUGGUAGUCCACGCCGUAAACGAUGAGUGCUAGUUGUCGGCAUGCAUGCAUGUCGGU